GACGAACGCUGGCGGCGUGCUUAACACAUGCAAGUCGAACGGUGAUGCUCCAGCUUGCUGGAGUGGAUCAGUGGCGAACGGGUGAGUAACACGUGAGCAACCUGCCCCAGACUCUGGAAUAAGCGCUGGAAACGGCGCCUAAUACUGGAUACGAAACUGGCCCGCAUGGGCAUGGUUUGGAAAGUUUUUCGGUUUGGGAUGGGCUCGCGGCCUAUCAGCUUGUUGGUGAGGUAAUGGCUCACCAAGGCGACGACGGGUAGCCGGCCUGAGAGGGCGACCGGCCACACUGGGACUGAGACACGGCCCAGACUCCUACGGGAGGCAGCAGUGGGGAAUAUUGCACAAUGGGCGAAAGCCUGAUGCAGCGACGCCGCGUGAGGGAUGACGGCCUUCGGGUUGUAAACCUCUUUCAGCAGGGAAGAAGCGAAAGUGACGGUACCUGCAGAAGAAGCACCGGCUAACUACGUG
rnacentral:rRNA from 1 species